rnacentral:rRNA from 1 species
UACGUAGGGUGCAAGCGUUUGUCCGGAAUUAUUGGGCGUAAAGAGCUCGUAGGCGGUUUGUCGCGUCUGCUGUGAAAACUCGGGGCUUAACCCCGGCCUGCAGUGGGUACGGGCAGACUAGAGUGCGGUAGGGGAGACUGGAAUUCCUGGUGUAGCGGUGGAAUGCGCAGAUAUCAGGAGGAACACCGAUGGCGAAGGCAGGUCUCCUGGGCUGACACUGACGUCGAUGCACGAAAGCGUGGGGAGCAAACAGG